CAGCCUCCUGUUCUUGAUCCAGUUUCACAAAUGGAUCCUCCUCCUAUGCCAGGCCUUCCUGACUUCUCACUCUCUUGGCCACUCAUGCUAAUUCCAGGCCUCUAGGAGAAGAAGCCCCACACAGGCACUUAUGGGGCUCCUACUGGGUGCAUCCUCACAGCCAUCCUGCAGGGGAGGAAGCAGCAUCCCCAUUUUAUGGAUAAGGAGGGGGCUCACAGGUCCAAGGUCCCAUCACCAUUAAGCAGUGAGGCCACAUGUAGCUGAUUUCAGAGAUUUACUCACUAUGCCUGGCCCCUCUCAAAUGUUGGCUUCUAGUCCAGUAAAUUAGUCCACAAAAGUUAUCCACAAAUAGUUACUGAGCACAUAUGAUUGCACCCAGCUAGCCUCUGACACAACCCCCUGGAGAAGGGCCAUCCCAGGAUUAAGAAACCAGCUUUCCCCACACGGGACCACGCAUCAGCAUAACACAGGUGCUGGGUCUGGGGUGGCAAUAGCAAUGGAAUGGAAGCUUCACUAAGGACGAACAGCAGCAUCUGCUUUACAGAGGCAGGCCUGAAGAUCAGGCAGGAAGGGAGAAAGGAGAAAGAAGGUGAAGUCUCUUGUUUGACAAUAGGAAACCACUCCCUUGAGCGUCUGGACCUGAUUCCUGGCUUUGGGGUCAGGCAGACCUUAGGUCCCUACCUAUCCUUUCCAAGCUGUGUGACUUCGCCUGCCUGAGCCUCAGUUCCUCUCAUGUAGAGUAAAGAUAAUAAUGGUGCUCCUUCCUCUGGCUGUUGGAUGGCUAUUCUAAGCUGCUCAACUCAUUCCCCCUCUCAGUCCCAGAGCCUAGCACCUGGGAUGGCAUUAACCUUCCAGGAGUUGAUGAUGCACCUGCUGGCACCAGGGUGUCUGGUGGACCUGGCUGCUGCUCGAGGAGGGACUUGUUUCCUCCUUUGACUCCCACUGGACCCAUGAAAUUGGGCUAUAGGCUGAGCUGGUGAGGCAAGGACAGAAGGCAAGGACUGAGCUGGUAGUCAGGCUCCUGGGAGCCAGGUGGCCCCAGGAACUGACCAUGCAGGCCCCAGUCCCCACGCUCUUUGUAACUUCCUCUCACUACCCAGGACCACAUGAAAGGAAGCACCAGGAAGACAGAGCUUUGGAUUGCUCGGCUCAUUGAUCCAUCACGGCACCUGGAACGGAGUCUGACAAAGAUGAGGUGCUUUGUCCACAUUCAUGAAUGAAUAUGAGCCUAACCCUGGUGGAAAAGGGGCUGUUUGCACUUGAGGUUGCUGAAGCCGGGUGCUCAGAAACAAAUGCCUUCAGAGGCCAGGCAGGUGACGGAAAUGUGGAUGGGCACAGGUGUUGACCAGGAUGGAUGUGUGGGGACUAGGGGCAAACGGAGAGGGCUUUUUGCACCUAAAGACAUUCAAACUGCAAAAACUAAGCUCCACUUCUGCAGCUAAUGAGAGGCCAUCUGAGGGCCAUGUCCAUCUGAAGGUCCCAUCCUACUCAGGGCCUCCCAGUCAUGAUUCCUGAGUCCUUCUCCCUGCAAGCCUAGUGAGGCCGGCCAGGGUACUGCUUUCAUGUGUGGGAUGGGGACAUCAGGCCCCAGGUCAGCUCCAGCCCCAUCUGCAUCAUUCAUGCUCCCUAAGAGACUGGCAUCCCAACUCUUCAAAGGAAGCAGAGUCCCUUCCCUACUGCUGUUGCUGCCUUCAUAGCCUCACCUGGGUUCCUGGCGCUGGCACCUGGCAACCUUAUGCCCCCAGGACCAACCCCCAGGCCUUCACAUAUGCACACAGACACAGGGCAUGCCUGUGUGCACCCAAGCACCUGCCCCCCAAAGGCAUACUCAGGUGCUUUGGGGCACCUUCUGCUCUAUUCAGAGAUCCCCUUCUCGAGGAAGUCCUCCAUGAUUACACUCCCUCAUUUUGCAUGCUAGAUCUGCCCCUCCCUCUCUCCAGACCUUCAUCACACCUCACACUGACCUGUGGCAUCCUCUCCCCUGGGGACAGGAACUGUAUAUGGUUCUGAUGGGGAGGAACUGUAUGUGACUCACCUCUGUGCUCCCAGCACAGGCUUAACACAGAGCAGGUGCCAAGUGUUUAUGGAGUGCACAGGAGAAAGUUACGCAGCAUCACAGAUAUUAGGCUUCCUAGGAUCAAAUCCCUGUAUGGCUACCUACUUGCUGUAUGACUUGCAAACCUCUUUGUCCUCAGUUUCCCCACACAAUAUAGGGAUAAUAAUAGUGUCAGCUGGAUGCGGUGUCUCACACCUGUAAUCUUAGCUCUUUGGGAGGCAAAGGUGGGCAGAUCACCCGAGAUCAAGUGUUGGAGACCAGCCUGGCCAACAUGGUGAAAUCCCAUUUCUACUAAAAAUACCAAAAUUAGCUGGGCUUGGUGGUGCAUGCCUGUAAUCCCGGCUGCUUGGGAGACUAAGGCAGGAGAAUCGCUUAAAUUGGGGAGGCGGAGGUUGCAGUGAGCCAAGAUCAUGCCAUUGCACUCCAGCCUGGGCGACAAGAGCAAGACUCUGUCUCAAUCAAUCAAUCA